GUGCACCAGGCGCGAAAGCGCGACGGGGCCACCCCGAGUGCCGCCCGCUGAGGGCGGCUUUCCCCGGUGUAGACAGCCGGGGGAAUAAGGGGAGGGCAAGUCUGGUGUCAGCCGCCGCGGUAAUACCAGCUCCCCGAGUGGUGGGGACGAUUAUUGGGCCUAAAGCGUCCGUAGCCGGCCCGGCAAGUCUCCCGUUAAAUCCAGCGAUCUAAAUCGCUGGACUGCGGGAGAUACU
rnacentral:rRNA from 1 species